rnacentral:rRNA from 1 species
CGGUACGGUAGACGUAACACGUGAGUGACCUGCCUUUUAGACUGGAACAACUUACCGAAAGGUGAGCUAAUGCCGGAUGAGUUAUAUAAGUGCAUGUUUAUAUAGGAAAAGUUGGGGAGACCUGACGCUGAAAGAUGGACUCGCGUCCCAUUAGCUAGUUGGUAGGGUAAUGGCCUACCAAGGCGACGAUGGGUAGCCGGCCUGAGAGGGUGGCCGGCCACACUGGGACUGAGACACGGCCCAGACUCCUACGGAAGGCAGCAG